CGCCAAGUUUACAUUUUUCGCGGGAAAGGAAGAUCAUUAGAUCAAAACAAUCCUGGCUUUUAAAGCGACCGGUCGAGUUUUAAAAAGGAGUCCAUUUUGUGAUCAUCUGUUCAAGUAUAAAGGUAAAUUGUCGGGGUCUUUUAUAUGUAGUUAAGAAAUGUUGGUUUUGUUGUAAAACACAAGUAAAUAUGAUAUAUUUUAAUGGGCCGAUCGCGCAGUAUUUUUACUACGUUGUAUUAAUGCCGCCACUUGAAAAGUUGUCUUGCGAAAGAAAAUUUACGGCAAUGCUGGGCAAGUUUAAACAUGUCUGAUCUCUUGUUAAAUUGAUGUGAAAAGUUUAGUGUAGGUAAAGCCACAAGGGAAGUAGAGAUCUUUGCAAAUUUUACGACGUAGUAUUAUAACGUGUGUCAUCACUGAAGUGUGAAAGCCAUUGACCUUCGCCUCACACGUACGCACAACUGAUCAAGUUUUCUGUAUAAACAAAAAUGUUUCCGUCUUUAUGUAGCUGUGUAAAAGAGCCGUUUGUGAAUCAUUGAAGAGAUUUUCCAAAGCCUUGUAUCCAGGAAAGAAGUAAUUUGGUAACUCGGGGCUUUCUUAAAGCGGUUGUGUCAAUUCAGCUAUUUCCUUUCAAAUUUCAAAAGACCUGCUGAAACUUCACAGGAGGAGGCAUUUCAAGUGCUAAAAAUGAGCUCAAAAGACGAUCAGAAGUCAACGGGAAAAUCCACACUAUCAGACGAUGAAAAAAAGAGCUCGAAAGCAACAGGAUUGACAGAAGAAAAUGCAAACAUUUGUAAAGAAAUCGGACAAAUACUUUCACGAGUUGGGGAUGAAUUCGAGCGGUGUUUUACUGUUUUUCGUCCAGACCUGUAACAAGGCAGAAAAAGAACAGUACGGACUAUAAAAAACAGUGGAGCGUUAAAUACAUGCCAUCAAUUGUAUAUAUGUACAUACAACAAACCUUUUGUGUGAGAAUAGUUAUUUUAUAGAGUUUUGAAAUAUUUAUAUAAUGGGGAUUCAUAUUAAUAAUGGCUUCAUAUUAAUAAUGGCUAAUACUGUACCGCGAGUAGGACGCAGAAAAAAAAUUACGUAGUUUAGAAAUUUUCUGACUUGAAAGUUGCUUUCAAAGUUUUCACAAUUGUAUAUAGCCUGUAAAAAGAACGAUUUUGUAAAAUUCUAGUUUAAAAAAGACAUUUGCUGGACAAAAAUAAAACUUUAUAGAUACGGAAAAAAUAGCGCCUUUGUAGGACCAAAUAUUUGUAUAUAAAAACAAUUGAUAUUAAUAAACAAAG